GACAGAGGGUGCGAACGUUGUUCGGAAUUACUGGGCGUAAAGCGCGUGUAGGCGGCAACGCAAGUCGGGCGUGAAAUCCCACGGCUCAACCGUGGAAGUGCACUCGAAACUGCGUAGCUAGAGUCCUGGAGAGGAAGGUGGAAUGCUUGGUGUAGAGGUGAAAUUCGUAGAUAUCAAGCGGAACACCGGUGGCGAAGGCGGGUCUCUGGGCCGAUACUGACGCUGAGGAGCGAAAGCGUGGGGAGCGAACAGG
rnacentral:rRNA from 1 species